GGCAGAGUGAUCAUCACACAAUAAAUGUAACACAUAGCGUUAGCAUAACAUUCACAUUAGCAUUAGGCUAGUGCUAACGGCAAGCAUCUCUUAAACUCUCAAACAACUUUUUUUUUUUUUUUUUUGCACACACUACGUAGCGUCCAGCAGGUGCUUGAAUUGCACUUUUGAGGGCAGUCCAACAUGUACACACCUAAGUUCCAGAAAAUCUGCGACUUUCUGGCCGAAGGCGUCAGCCUGAAUCUGAAAAUGGGCCGGCGUGACAAUGUCACUAGUCAGGGGAGCGAGACCGAUGGAAUCAACGGAGCGUCCCAAGACCCCUUGCUUCCCUAGAGAGAGCGCCCCCCUGUGGCUGCAUCUGCCGGAGGAAACUUUCCAGGUCAGUGCGCCCAAGGUGAAGCCGUAGCAGCGAGGAAAACAUCUGGAAAUGUCAGCGCUUCCCUCAGGAUCCAGGGAGUGGAGUGGGAGGGGGGCUAACAUCAGGUCGGGACCACCUGGAGGAGUCGGAGGAGGGCGGACUCAUUGUGAGCCUUAUUGAUUGCGGCGAGCGAUCUGCGGCGACCGGCGGGCAAACAAGAUGGAUGGACUUGUCAGUGCCUGUCAUCACGCCAGCUCGUGUUGACGCCGUGAAAUCCGGGUGAGGCGAACAGAAUGUCGGCGCAGUUCAAGAUUUCAAGACUGUGUUAACAUUUCAAAUGAGAAAGUUAGGGUUUCCAUUUAAACUAAGGUUAAACUUGUUUUUUCUUAAAUUUUUAGGGUCAGGGCAUAUUUUGUCUGAUUUUGCAUGCCUUUGAUGUUGCCUUUAUAGUUAAAAGUAAAAAAUGUUCACAAUGACCUGGUUGGGUCCCUUUUUUCAGGACAUCAUAACCUUCAUGUCUAAACUGUUGUUUUCUUCACUGACCAAUUAUAAUCAACAUUUGGGACCCAAAAAGUUUUUAAAAAAAAAGAAUCCCAAAAUAUUUGUCAAAAUUUGUAAUAUUUAUGUCCCAUUGACAACCAAACAUGCUCACGUUGUGAAGCUUGAUAAUAUUUAUUCAAUUUGUUAGGUUACACAUUCAACAAAAAAAUGAGACUGAAUAGUCUUGUGUUUGAUAAUUAAACAGAAACAUCAGGUACGGUCAUAGGCUUUUUUUGUCCUUUCUACAUCGCAAGAUGGCGCCUCGCUUAAUAAAGGUUUUCGGAUGAUGUCCUUCCUUUGUGACCUCACAAUGGCUUCGUUGUGCUUUCAGUUCUUAAAAAGGACAAGAAAUGAUGUAAAUAUGGACAUUAACACAUGGUCCAUGCAAUGUUUUAAUGUUUAUUUAUGAGGGCAAUAAAACUCUAAAAAUAAAUUGACAAUAUCUCCCGUUUUACUUCGUCGUGGACCUCAACUUCCGUACUUUCAAACGAGACCAAGCAGCGGCACGUGGGUGACGUAAUUAUGGCGUGACGAGGCUUCAAUGAUAUGCGCGCACGUGUCGCCGCCAACAAGUCCAGUGUUAAAGGGCUAAAGAAAGCAGUUUUUUUGCAUUGAAAUGUGCUGCAAAGUAUAUGGCGGAAAACACUUAGGUGACUUGAAGUUCCGCUCUGAGACCCCCGUUUGUCCAAAUUUCAAAAUUGUCCGAUUUGCACGUCUGAUAAAUCAUUGGAAAGCUUAAAAUGUUAAUUUUCUGGGAGAAGAAAUAUUUUGAACAGGAGUGUAUUUUUAAAAAAUAUAUACUUUUUAAACAGCGAAACUGGAGGUGAGAGCACGCGAGAGCAGAAUUAAAGAUGCCAUAAUUUUAACGAGAUAUCGCGUACUUACUUUGUUUCGAUCCAAAAACUCAAUAUAGCAUGUAUAAUCGAGUGUUAAGACACAGAUGUGAAUGGCAACAGCUGGAUUUUUUCGGGAUUUUAUGGGUGAAACAUGGUAAUAUAACAAGAGUCGCGAUGCAGAAAUCGCAGACGUCAAGGAGUAAUCGAGAUUUUCAUUUUCAUAUAUUUACCCUUUUAAACUUUUUUUUUUUUUUUCAAAUUUUCUUUGUUUGGAUUGUUUAUUUAUCUAAAAUAUUGGGGAAAAUGCAACUGUAACAAAAAAAAUACAAUUAAGUGAUAGUUAUGAGGUAGAUAUCUGUGACUUUUUUUACAGACGCCAAUUUUUUCCAUUGUGACGUAAUUUGUUUAAAACCUUAGUAAAUAAUUUUUUUAAGUCGUUUUUUUUUUUUACGAAAUAUAUUGACAUCAAUUAUUGAUUCUAAGCUAAAAAUGAUAGACAUUGUGAAAAAUAAAUAAAUCACUUACCUUCUUAUAAUGGCUGGGUUGAAACAAAAGCGGUUGCGCGACAUCCGUAAACGGUGGUUUUCAGGGCAAAACGGGCAAAUUAAAAAUAGUUCGGGUACUUGCACCAUUAAUCUGCUAUGGCAGCAUAUAGACAUAUUGUUCUAUCAGACACAACAGUUGUUUUGGUUUAAAAUACAGCAGUUUAUUUUAUAGAUGGGUGCGAGAGCAGAAACUGCUUUUUCAGCCUGUCUAUGUUUUCCGCCAUAUACAGUAUAUAAAUUAGAGCUGUAAUUAUUUAAAAAAAAAAAAAAAAAAAAAAACUCAUUGUUCGAUAUGUGUUACGAUUCUUGACCCAAGGUUCGACACACAAAACAAUUUUUAAAAAAUGAUUAAAAAUUAUCACCUAAAAACAAUGCGUUUGGGAGUUAGGGGCAAUUGCUUUGAGCCAAAAAUUAAAUCUAAUAAUCUCUAUAGACAAGUUUCCUGAGCGAAAUAUUGGUGGCACCAUUUUGGAAAAUGUUUGCUCCGAAGUUCCAGUUUAGAAAGAACAACAUGAAUUGCGGUUGAAGUAAGCAGUGCGUUUCCAAAAACAUCAAAAUCAAGCCAGAGAAACCCACUGAACCUCCAAAAAUGGAUCCAGCACGACGUAGAUGAGAUGUAGAUGAGAUUAUAUAUGAUGUAAUGAUGUAAUGUUUACUUCGUUGAUCAUUUGUGGACAAAUUUGUUACAACCUGUCCGCCUGUGUUGAUGUGAGGAAGAGAUCGAUACGCCGGCCACCUGAGUGACCAAAAUGAGGUGAAAUUACAGAUUAUAUUACAUUUGCCAAAUGCAGAAGGGCUGACACGGAUUUUGUUGUAAUAUGGAUAUAGUGCAAGGUAUGUAACAUAUAAAUAAAAAUAGUAUGUCAUUCUUUUUUAUUGCAGAUACUGAUAGCAAUAAAACAUUUGGACAACAUGAUUCCAUUUCUUGUUUUAUUUAAAACGAUUGAUGCAUGUGCAAAACAGGGAAAUAAAUCACAAUUUAUAAAGUUAUUGGAAAAAAUGGCAUAUGAGAACGUGAUAUCAGACAGCAGAGCUCCGGAUGAGUAAUGUUACUCCAGCUCCACUGUUGUUUUGGAUGGAGAAAUUGUAAGACGGAUGUUGCUAGCAGACAUGCGGAAGUAAAGCGGAAAUACCUCGGAAACUUGUCUAUUGUUUUUCGGCGCGACACCCAGCCAAAACAGUUUGAUUGCUUGACACCGCUCCAAAAAUUUGAAAAUUCACGUAAUGCAGGCUACCUUUCGUCUUUUCCCAAUGUUAACGGUUGCAACAAUAACACAGGUUUUUCAACAAAAACAGCCACAUUCAUUUUCAAUGGUAGAAACAGUUCAAGUUUCAAAUUUCAGAAUGUAUGUAGUUUUACAAUCUUUAUCUGAGUGACAUCAGUCAUAUGUAAAAGAAAUUCAGGAACUUAAGGUAAGACCGGUUAUUAUUUCUCUCAAAAUAAAAAAAUAAAAUAAAAAAAUAAAAAGUUUACCAUUCUUUUUGAAUGGCCAACAUUUGACAAACGUUUUUUGUUGUUUUUCGGCUUAGGGCGGUUUAAUUUUUUCGCAGUUUUCGGGGUUUGUCAGUUUUGUGGAUUGCUUUGUAGUCUGUAGUUUUUCCGUUUUUCUUGUCUUUUUUGAAAGUUUCUCGCAUUCUUUAAGGUUUUU